CUGCCACCACAGAUAAUUGACAAGGGCUGAUCAAAUAGUGAUGCUUUCAAGUCUGUCUCCAAAGCCCCAGAAAAAUCUGAUGCAGGGGAGAGCCUUCUCAUGAGAAAGGGCCAGGACAGCACCUUCUUCCUCUUCUUAACUUCUACAGCCAAGAAAACAAGGCAACGAGAAAAAUUAGACUACAGUGUUAAUAAGCAAAGAUCCAGGUAAGAAAAUGGGUAUUGUUGGCCACAUAAUGUGGUCAAUAGUAUAUGCCAUGUGAGAAAAAUAAUUUUGAAAACUUAAGAAAGCAAAGGGCGUGAAUCUUAAUCUAGAAAAACCAACCGAUAAACAACCACACUGUUACCAGGACAACCAGUUCCCUAAACAGCAACACCAGGGUUCCUCAAAGCCUCCACCUUUCCUGUUUUCACUCUUUCCAGCUGUUUGCUGCAGAAAAUUAGCAAAACCUGACUGUGCAGAUCAUAAACAACCAUCUUAACCUACUGGCCUGAACAACUAUAGAGGAAAUUUCUGAUAUGUAAUAGAUUAUUUUGAUUUCCUCCUUUAAUUGGCGAAGAAAACGAAACUUAAAAGAUUCAUCUACCAUUACCCGCCAAACACCAAACAAUGAAAUGACUUCAGUGCUGGCAUCAUCCCAGUGGUUAAUGUUCUUUUUAAAAACCAUCUAUCUUGGCAUCUGUCACUAGCUCUGCAUCUACCAUUCUAAGAGUGGGAGAAGGUGAGACGACUGGGACUCCCCGGGGUCAGUUAACUUGCCCACUGUCACUCAGCCGUGUUUAAGCCUUGGUCCUACGUUUGGAUCCUAAGUCCAGAGCUCUCUGUAUUCUUCCACUCAGAGAUAACCCUUCAAAUGGAUCAUUUAGAAACAGAGACAAGAUGUUGAGAACUCGUAUAUCAACUUAUAUCUGAACAACCCAGGUAGAUUUUUAUGGGGAGUGCUUACCUAGCAGAGAGUUAGAUU